rfam:Triticum aestivum genome assembly, contig: Triticum_aestivum_CS42_TGACv1_scaffold_211709_3AS
GUUCCUUCGCGGACAUGCGAUAAAAUUGAAACGAUACUGAGAAUAUUAGCAUGGCCCCUGCGCAAGGAUGAUACGCACAAAUCAGACCGCGCCACCCUGUGA